GUAUGUUCUUGUCCCUAGAUCCUCCUUUCUCUUUCUGCUUCCUGGUGGCCAUGAGAUGAACAGCUUCCCUCAUAUAUUCCAUUCUGCCAAGACAGAAUGGAGCCAGCUGACUAUGAGCUGAAUCCACUGAAACUAUGAGCCAAAAUAAACCUCUCCUCCUAUAAGUUGUGGAUGUUGGUUUGUGCUAGUGAUGGGAAAGUGACUAAUACACCAUGUGAUCUGUUGUGCAUGUACUCCCACCAUGGGAUCUAUCCCCCACGUUACAAUGCAACCAGAAGGCUCUCACCAGUGGCAGACCAGAUGGAGCCACCCAACCUUGGACUUUCAGCCUCCAAAAUUAUAAACUAAACUUCUUCUCUCUAUAACUUUGUCAGCCACAGGUAUCUUGUUAUAGCAACACAAAAUAGACUAAGACAUUCAGUAUCAUUAUGUAAGGCAAUACUUUAAGAGGCCUUCACAGUCUACCAGAUGAGAGAGUAAAACAUUCCCACCUUUUAGAGCAGUGGUUCUCUAUUGGGGGACAAUUUUGCCUUCCAGAGCCAUCUGUUGAUGUCCAAGAUGUGUGUAAUAAUCAAACCUGGGGGAGAAAGAAGAGUCUGGGAGAAGAGGCUGCUACUGGGAUGUGGCCACAAAACCACGUUGGUAUCUGAUCUCUUCAUACUUCUGCUGGGAGGUGAAAUGGAAGAGGCUUCAUUCUUGACACCCACUGUCUUCUUCAGGUCACUUUCCUGGGAACCCCUAAGGACACCCAGAAAUGACUCACAUCCCUCUAGAGACACAUUCGAAUACCUCUCCCCCACUUCAAUCUGGACAAGCCUGUAACUUGCUCAGAGGCAGUGAAGGUACUCUUGCUUCCAAGGCUGGAUCAUAAAAGGUAAUUCUGGGAUGAUCAUACUGGAGCCCUGAGGCUGCUAUGCUCAGAAGAAGCCUAAACUAGACCACAUGGAGAGACCACAAGGGGAGACCACAUGGAGAGACCCUGAUUCUUCCUGAAGAGGAGAAGCCUAGCAAACCACCCCUUCUCUGGCUCCUGUCACCAUCUGACCAUUUGACUGCAAUCACAGGACAGUCCUCUCCAAAUUCCUGAUCCACAGAGAUUAUAAAAGAAAAUGAUUGUGUUGCCUUAAA